rnacentral:misc_RNA from 1 species
CCGCCCAAAAACUCUCAUUAAUAACUGAAGUUGCAUAAUCUUGCUUGUUUACAUAAUAAACUGAAUGGGAUUUUUUUUUCCUUCAGCUCCAUCAGCAACUGAAUUACUGCACAAUGUGUUUCUGUCAGGAUCCGCCCACUGCACUGCAUCAAUGACACAGGAAGCUCUGCAUCUGCAUUUCACACCACCGGUGGCUGUUGGUAAAAGCAUCAAAGUGGGAUGCUUGUUUGGACAUCUACCUCACUAAAAUUUUCUGGUAUAUCAAAUCAACAAGGGAACUUGGAGAUUUUCAAAACUUGGAAAGCCAUAGAGAGACCAUGAUAUCACCUCAGCAAAAAUGAAUACCAAAGAAAAGUAACCUAAACAUGUAGGAGUUUUUCUUUUCGUUAAAAGAACCAACUCCACUUUAUCCACCUUAUACCUGCAGAAAGAUGAUC